UGAAAAAGAAAGGGGAAUGAAAGUCCAACGGUUAUGUGUCUGGUUAUCCAAAGUCAACUCUUUCAUUUUAUCCUUUUACCCAGUUUUGGUUAUGAGCAUGAAACAAGAAAUCUUAAGUGUUAGCAUAUCAUAGCAACUGUGGCAGUCAUAGGAGCAGGCCUAGCAACAGUGGUAGGGUGGCCAAAGGAUAACCUGUCUCAUGCUUUUUUAUAAUAGAAAAAAUUCAAACAAUCUCAUAGCCAGGAGGAGAGUCAGUUUGAAAAAGGGGGGGGCCCUUCAUAGCCAGGAGGAGAAGAAAAAAGGAGGGGACUGAAUCUCUUGAGCUCUGAAUUUUCUUGGCUCCCAGCAACAAUCUCGGACCAACUGAAAGGAAGAACUGGAACAAGAGGAGAGUCCAUUAAUCACCCCUCCACCAACACAAAGAGACUAAGAGGACUUGCUAAGAUCAUGGAGAAUAUGAGAGACUUAAGAAGCGGUGAAAGCUGAUGUCGAGCAAUUGAAAGAACAAAUGAGUCAGAUCCUGGAGGCCCUAAAAGCAUUACAAAACAAUGAGGAAACUUCAGCUCCACCACAUCAACCAAGAGAUCAGAUGAUCCAAACAUUUCCACCUUAUGGCCUCCCUUCAAGUUACCUUCCACCUAUCAAAGAGGAUAUGACACAAGCAUAUACCCAAAAGGCGAAUGGUCACAUAUCUGUAACUCAUAUUAGAGAUGAAAAUGAAUUAGGGGCAACCACUCUUACAAAGCCUCUGGAAAUGUUCAACCAAAUGUUGUGCAGGUGGCAUCAACAAAGGAACCUGAGAUGAAGCCUCCACACUAUGUUGCCAUAUCAGUGGAUGUCGAAGUAGCCAAUAACAAGUUAGAAAUGCUGGAGAAAAGGAUAAGAGUCAUGGAAGGUGGAGGAAGCCCUGAGUUUGAAAAUGUUAUAGGGUUGUCCUUAGCCCUAAAUGUAGUGAUACCUCCAAAGUUUAAAUUACCUGAGUGUGAAAAAUAUAGAGGGACCACUUGUCCUAAGAGCCACAUAAUGAUGUAUGGCAA